CCCCUCAUUACUUGGCCUCCCAUAACUAGGCCUCCUCGGUGGCUCCUCCACCUCCGGACUCUCGUAGCUCGGCCUCCCAUACUGUGGCUUCCUGGGGGACCCUUCCCCACCAUAACCAUACCCGCCACCUUGUUCCUCUCCGAAGCUAGGUUUCCGACCGUACCCAGAUCCAUAUUCAGAACUCGGUGCUUCGUACUCAGGCCUCCGACCAUACCCAGAUCCAUACUCCGAACUGGGCUGCUCGAACUCGGGCCUCCGACCAUACCCAGAUCCAUACUCCGAACUAGGUUGCUCGUAUUCAGGCUUCCGACCGUACCCAGAUCCAUAUUCCGUGCUAGGCUGUUCGUAUUCAGGCUUCCGACCGUACCCAGAUCCAUAUUCCGAGCUAGGCUGUUCGUAUUCAGGCUUCCGACCGUACCCAGAUCCAUAUUCCGAGCUAGGCUGUUCGUAUUCAGGCUUCCGACCGUAGCCAGAUCCAUAUUCCGAGCUAGGCUGUUCGCAUUCAGGCUUCCGACCGUACCCGGAUCCGUACUCCGAACUGGGUUCCUCGUAAUCAGGCUUCCGCCCAUGCCCAGAUCCAUACUCACCCUCCCCACCAAAACUCGACGGCGGCUUCGGCUGAUACCCAUACUCACCACCAUCACCACUGCCUCCGAACCCUCCUUGGCCAGGAGGUGGUCCGGCGUAACCAAGGACCGGACGAGGCUUGGGACGAGCAUAGCUCUUGUAUUCAUUCUCAAGAGCUUCAUCACCGUAAGCCGAUGGUUCAGAGCAUGAUGUGUAGCUUGGGCGAUCGUAGUCUAUAUCACCGGACUUCGAGGAGAUCGGAUAGCAAGUCUCCUCCGACGGCUCCAAAGGGCGGCCAUAGAUGACCGUGAUGUCGUAGCCUCCACCAUACGGGGUCGGAUCGUACUCAUCG
rnacentral:lncRNA from 1 species